UACGAAGGGGGCUAGCGUUGCUCGGAAUCACUGGGCGUAAAGCGCACGUAGGCGGCUUUCUAAGUCAGGGGUGAAAUCCUGGAGCUCAACUCCAGAACUGCCUUUGAUACUGGAGAGCUUGAGACCGGAAGAGGUAAGUGGAACUGCGAGUGUAGAGGUGAAAUUCGUAGAUAUUCGCAAGAACACCAGUGGCGAAGGCGGCUUACUGGUCCGGUUCUGACGCUGAGGCGCGAAAGCGUGGGGAGCAAACAGG
rnacentral:rRNA from 1 species